rnacentral:tRNA from 1 species
GGGCGUUUAGCUCAGCUGGGAGAGCAACUCGUUUACACCGAGUAGGUCGGCAGUUCGAUCCUGUCAACGCCCACCA